GUCUACAGCCAUGCCACCCUGAACAUGCCCGAUCUCAUUUGAUCUUGGAAGCUAAGUGGUGUCGGGCCUGGUUACUACUUGGAUGGGAGACCACCUAGGAAGACCAGGUACCGUAGGUG
rnacentral:rRNA from 1 species